GAGGAAGAAAGGAAAAGUUUUUAUUCGUGCUUGAUUCUCUUUGCACUGCUGCUGGAGUGGUGGUGGCAUGGAGUAAGAGAUCCCCAGGGAGACAUUCAGGAAUCGAUGAUCAAGGUCAUGUGGACCAGGAGCCCUUCCUUAUCAGGAGAUUCAUCUUGCAGAUUACACCUUGUGUUUCAGAAGAGAGACUGGAUUGCAAGAGUUCAAAACCAGCAUGUGCGUUCCUCUUAAUCUCAAGUCAGCACCCAGAUCUCCGAUUGAAGAUCAGCAGUACGUGUUGUCAUGGCCGAACUUCUCCAUCCUCUUCAUUCUUCUUUCUACUGGAGACAGUUGCAGAGACUGGCUUGCUUGUGAUCCUGGACUCCCUUGACUUCCUGGUGCAGGAGCCCUUGUUCAAAAUCUGUACAUGAAAUACUGGUUAGAGUAUUUGUAGUUCUGGAACCUAUGUGGCCUUGCCCCCUCCCUACCAAAUCCCAGCCUUCUCCACAGAGAAGCAGCGCAUUGAAAUCUUCCUCACAGGGCUCUUAGGAUGUGACAAUAGACUUUUUUUUCCCACACAGUUUAAUUUAGUCUUCACUGAAUCAUGCUAAAAUACACAUCUGUACAUCACUAAAACAUUUUGCAAACUUCCUCCAAAAAAUGAUCCGUAUAUUUUUUUAUCAUUGAAUAUCAUUGAAUGAUAUCAAUGAAUAUCAAAGAUCUCUCCUUAUUUUCAAUGUCACACAUCUAGUUUUCAAGUUAAAGCAAUAAGUAUUUAUUUCUGUAAAAACAUUCACCAGAAUACAGAACAGAAAUAUAAAAUAUAAGAAUGAAUACUUUGAUAUCAAGUGUGGGUGACCUAACUAAAAUCCAUUCCUCUCUCUCGUGGAAGGAGAGGGAAGUAACAGGAACACUCAGUAGGAUGCCACUGGUAUGAUGUUACCUGGUGCAACACAAGACUGUCCAUCGACAAGGGAUAUAUUUGUAUUUAAUAAAAGCAUGAAUGCAUAAAUGAGCUUGAUGAAC
rnacentral:lncRNA from 1 species